rnacentral:rRNA from 1 species
AAAAUAAAAAUUAAUAAAAUAAAUUUAAUAAAAGUAAUUUUAAUAUUAAAAUAAAUAAUGGGGGUUAAAGUAUUUUAAUAGAAAAAAUUAGAAAUUUUAUAGUAAAUUAGUAUAGUAAUAGAAUUUUGAAAUAAAUGAAAAUAAAUUUAAUUAAAAGUAAAUUUAAUUUAUUGUAUCUUGUGUAUCAGAGUUUAUUAAAUAAAAUUUUAAGAUAAAAAUAUCUCGAAUUUAAAAGAGUUAAUUAAUUAUAAAAGUUAAUGUUAAAUAAUUAUUUUAAAUAAUUAAUUUGAAAUGAAAUGUUAAUCGUUUUUAAAUAUAUCUAGUUAUUUUAGAAAAAAAUUUAAUUUUAAAUUUAUAAAAAAAAAAAUUAUUUAUAAAUAAUUUUUUUUUUUAUAAAUUUUAUAAUUUAGGGGAUAAGCUUUAAAUUAGAAAUUUAUAAUAAAAAUAAAUUAUAAUAAAAUUUUUAAAAUUUAUAUUGUUUAAAAAUUAAAGUUUAUUAUAAAAAAUUUUAUUUAGAAUAAAAUUUAAUAUGAAUUUAAUUUUUUAUAAAAAUAUAAUUUUUAAUUAAAUAAUAUUAAAAAAAAUGAUAAAAUUAGUAUAAUAAAAUAAUUUAAAAUAAAUAUGAAUUAUUAAAAUAUAAUUAAAAGGAAUUCGGCAAAUUAAUAUAUUCACCUGUUUAACAAAAACAUGUCUUUUUGAAAAAUAAUUUAAAGUCUAAUCUGCCCACUGAUUUAAUUAUUAAAGGGCUGCAGUAUAUUGACUGUACAAAGGUAGCAUAAUCAUUAGUCUUUUAAUUGAAGACUUGUAUGAAAGAUUUGAUGAAAUAUAAACUGUCUCUUAGUUAUUUAUAGAAUUUAAUUUUUUAGUUAAAAAGCUAAAAUAAAAUUAAAAGACGAGAAGACCCUAUAGAGUUUUAUAAUUAUUAAUUUAAAAUAUUUAUAUAAAAAUUUAAUAUUUAAGAUAAAUAAUUAUUGUAUUGGGGUGAUAAAAAAAUUAAAUAAACUUUUUUUAAAAUUAAACAAAAAUAAAUGAAUAAAUGAUCCAUAAUUAAUGAUUAAAAGAAAAAAUUACCUUAGGGAUAACAGCGUAAUAUUUUUUUUUAGUACAAAUAAAAAAAAAAGUUUGCGACCUCGAUGUUGGAUUAAGAUAAAAUUUAAAUGCAAAAGUUUAAAAUUUUGAUCUGUUCGAUCAUUAAAAUCUUACAUGAUCUGAGUUCAAACCGGUGUAAGCCAGGUUGGUUUCUAUCUUUAAUAAAAUAAAAUAUUUUAGUACGAAAGGAUCAAAUAUUUAAAAUAAUUUUAUAGAAAGAAUAUUAAUAAUAGUUUAUAUAA